rnacentral:sRNA from 1 species
UAACAUCUUGAUAUCCAUACCCCUAUACUCCCUAGUUGAAGGAAAGUGAUAUGCUCGCUUUCCUUUUUUU